rnacentral:rRNA from 1 species
UACGUAGGUGGCAAGCGUUAUCCGGAUUUAUUGGGUUUAAAGGGUGCGUAGGCUGUAAGGUAAGUCAGCGGUGAAAUGCCCCCGCUCAACGGGGUGAAGUGCCAUUGAUACUGCCUUGCUGGAAUGCGGAUGCCGUGGGAGGAAUGUGUGGUGUAGCGGUGAAAUGCAUAGAUAUCACACAGAACACCGAUUGCGAAGGCAGCUUUCCAAGCUAUUACUGACGCUGAGGCACGAAAGCGCGGGUAUCGAACAGG